AGACCCGAAACCCGGUGAUCUAGCCAUGGGCAGGUUGAAGGUUGGGUAACACUAACUGGAGGACCGAACCGACUAAUGUUGAAAAAUUAGCGGAUGACCUGUGGCUGGGGGUGAAAGGCCAAUCAAACCGGGAGAUAGCUGGUUCUCCCCGAAAGCUAUUUAGGUAGCGCCUCGUGAAUUCAUCUCCGGGGGUAGAGCACUGUUUCGGCUAGGGGGCCAUCCCGGCUUACCAACCCGAUGCAAACUGCGAAUACCGGAGAAUGUUAUCACGGGAGACACACGGCGGGUGCUAACGUCCGUCGUGAAGAGGGAAACAACCCAGACCGCCAGCUAAGGUCCCAAAGUCAUGGUUAAGUGGGAAACGAUGUGGGAAGGCCCAGACAGCCAGGAUGUUGGCUUAGAAGCAGCCAUCAUUUAAAGAAAGCGUAAUAGCUCACUGGUCGAGUCGGCCUGCGCGGAAGAUGUAACGGGGCUAAACCAUGCACCGAAGCUGCGGCAGCGAACGUAUCACCCAAGACAACUUUACGGAGUUGACGAUUGACGGAGCGAAGCGACGUCAAAGCGUUCAUUAAAGUCGAGUUGGCUUAGGGAUACGUUCGUUGGGUAGGGGAGCGUUCUGUAAGCCUGUGAAGGUGUGUCGUGAGGCAUGCUGGAGGUAUCAGAAGUGCGAAUGCUGACAUAAGUAACGAUAAAGCGGGUGAAAAGCCCGCUCGCCGGAAGACCAAGGGUUCCUGUCCAACGUUAAUCGGGGCAGGGUGAGUCGACCCCUAAGGCGAGGCCGAAAGGCGUAGUCGAUGGGAAACGGGUUAAUAUUCCCGUACUUGGUGUUACUGCGAAGGGGGGACGGAGAAGGCUAUGUUGGCCGGGCGACGGUUGUCCCGGUUUAAGCGUGUAGGUGUGUGUUCCAGGUAAAUCCGGUUCACUUUAACACUGAGGCGUGACGACGAGGCACUACGGUGCUGAAGCAACAAAUGCCCUGCUUCCAGGAAAAGCCUCUAAGCAUCAGGUAACAUCAAAUCGUACCCCAAACCGACACAGGUGGUCAGGUAGAGAAUACCAAGGCGCUUGAGAGAACUCGGGUGAAGGAACUAGGCAAAAUGGUGCCGUAACUUCGGGAGAAGGCACGCUGACACGUAGGUGAAGUGAUUUACUCAUGGAGCUGAAGUCAGUCGAAGAUACCAGCUGGCUGCAACUGUUUAUUAAAAACACAGCACUGUGCAAACACGAAAGUGGACGUAUACGGUGUGACGCCUGCCCGGUGCCGGAAGGUUAAUUGAUGGGGUCAGCGCAAGCGAAGCUCCUGAUCGAAGCCCCGGUAAACGGCGG
rnacentral:rRNA from 1 species